ensembl:lncRNA
CCUGUGACGUGCUAGUAACCUCUCCAGGUGGGCUGCCCCAUUCCCGUCCCCGCCAACGGCACCACCCCCCUCCCACCUGAUGCACCCACGUCGCCCGGACCAGGGAUCUGCGUUCCGGUACCAGGGGCUGCGGCCCGUUCCCUUAAGGCUUGAGGGCGCCCCUGGCUGUAUUCGCUUCUGUACGCUUCACUGUUUUUAGCCGCUCCCAUAUCUAUGCCCGCGUCUACGCAACCGACGCCGGGAACGUAAAUGUUGUUGUUUAUAUCGCUGUCCCACUAGAUGGAGCUCGGGGAUACACACGGGCGAGAUUCCAGGGGCCUUGAUUGCCUGUUUAUCAGAUGAGGUCCUGAGCGCAGUUGAAUAAAAGGGUCUAAUGCUCAGGUGGCGCCUUGCGACCACCUGCCCGUGAUGACGCUCAGGACUAUUCCAUGGUUUUAGUUGUUCCCGUGCUCCGGGCCUACCCUGGAUACCCCAUGCGUGUGAUUGCUUAUUGUUAUGUGACCAGUUAACUCCUCCUCACAUCCUUAAUGUGUGGUCAUCUAGGGAUGGGUUGAGGGGGAUUGCCAUUCGUUGUGUACCUCAUAUCUUUCUGAUAUUAUUAUUAUUGUUUAGGGACACGUUUCAUGGUUACAUUUCUUUCCUGUGAUUGUUGCAUUUUUGUUUAUAUCGUUAUUGUUUACUGUUAGUUUUGUUGUUGCAUUUUGUUGUUGUUGUUAUGGUUUGGUGUUGGUUUUGUUGUGUAUCAUCUGCUGCCAGCAUUGUUGGUAUUGUCUGCUCGCGGUGUAAGGCCGGGGUGGAUCCCACCCCCUAGGUGGGGUGUGUAUGGCAUACCCAUGUCUGAAGCAUGGGUAGCGUUUCUCCCACGUGCAGGGCCUGGGAGCCAAGGCCAAGCAAAAACACACAGAACCACACACACCUCAAACGCACACACCUCAUCGAGAGGAGGAUACAGCAUAAAACUGUAUCACACAGGGACUCUUCACCUUCUUCUGAAGCAGACCUUCCACGGAGGCGAAGCUCCGGACGAACCAUCAGCGCUGAUUAGGGACUUAGACAUAUUCGAUUUCUCACGCUUAUGACUCUGUAUAACCGUUGCCACUUUACUUAAUAAAUCCAAGGUCCUCGUGCCGAAAGACUUUA